rnacentral:tRNA from 1 species
UAGCUCAUUCAGUUAGAGCAUAGUGCUGACAACACCAAGGUCGCGGGUUCGAUCCCCGU